GUGUGGAGGUGCGCGGUAUUUAAAGGGCUGCCUCCCCCGCCCUUCCACCCCCCCUCCGGGGUAAGCCCUUUAGCGCUUCACCCGGCGCAGGAGGCUCCAGCGAGCGCUAAUUCGCCCCGGGCUCUCCACCGCGCACGUCCUGCUCUCUCCUCCGCCGGCCGCGGCAACGCUGGACGGAGCGCUCGGGAGCAGGGGCUCGGAACUAUGGAGAAAGCAUCAGCUCAUUAUGGUGAACUCAGACCUUCCCUCUCUGAAGAGAAAUGAGUCACUUGAAAAGAUCUCCACAGUGGGAUGGAUGUUUUCACGCCAAGACGAAUGAGAAUUUUAAACAUCUGCAUCUCUGGCCUGAAAAAGCAGAGAGCUCCUGCUUUGUUAAGUAAAAUAUCCCAUGACUAAUAAUAAAUAACAC